AAACUAGGAUUAGAUACCCUAUUAUUUAAGAGCUUUACAUUGUAAGUAAAUAAUAAUUACGAAAGCAAAAAAUUAUGGCGGUAUUUUAAGCUUCUCAGAGGAAUUUGCUCUUUAAUGGAUAAAACACCUAAAUCUUACUUAAAUUUGUUAGGCAAUUUGUAUACCACUAUUAAAUUAAUUAUUAAUUUUAAUUUAUAAAAUUUAUUAUAAAUUUAAAAAAAAUUAAGUCAAGGUGCAGUAAAAAUUUAAGAAUGAAGUGAAUUACAAUUCUUUUAAGAGAUUAGAUAAAUUAAAAUUAUUAUUUAGGAUUUGAAAGUAAAAUUAAAAUAGAAUGUUAAUUUGAAUUAAGCUCUAAAAUAUGUACACAUCGCCCGUCGCUCUCAUU
rnacentral:rRNA from 1 species